rnacentral:rRNA from 1 species
UACGUAGGGGGCAAGCGUUGUCCGGAAUCAUUGGGCGUAAAGAGCGUGUAGGCGGUUCGGUAAGUCCGUCGUGAAAGUCCAGGGCUCAACCCUGGAAAGCCGAUGGAUACUGUCGGACUAGAGUCCGGAAGAGGCGAGUGGAAUUCCUGGUGUAGCGGUGAAAUGCGCAGAUAUCAGGAGGAACACCUAUGGCGAAGGCAGCUCGCUGGGACGGCACUGACGCUGAGACGCGAAAGCGUGGGGAGCAAACAGG